GAUGAAGAACGUAGUGAAAUGCGAUAAGUAGUGUGAAUUGCAGAAUUCAGUGAAUCAUCGAAUCUUUGGACGCACAUUGCGCCCCAUGGUAUUCCGUGGGGCAUGCCUGUUCGAGCGUCAUUUACCCCCUCAAGCUCCGCUUGGUGUUGGGCGUCUGUCCCGCUUCGCGCGCGGACUCGCCCCAAAGGUAUUGGCAGCGGUCGUGCCAGCUUCUCGCGCAGCACAUUGCGCUUCUCGAGGCACCGGUGGGCCCGCGUCCAUCAAGCUCACCCCCCCAGUUUGACCUCGGAUCAGGUAGGGAUACCCGCUGAACUUAAGCAUAUCAAUAAGCGGAGGA
rnacentral:misc_RNA from 1 species